UUGACAGACAGGCAAAUAAACCAGAACUCUUCCAGAAGAUAUUUUUAUGGCUGAAACUGGCUCUCAAGUUAGAAGCAGCCCUGACUUGUCUUAUAGAACCGGGUUGCCUAAGAGAAAUAAAGAAACCACUCUACCCAACUCAACCAACAUAUGACUUCCUUUUUUCUAAAAAAUAUAAAUGGAAACGUCACAAGGCCAUAAGCUGUGGCCAUGGACAUUCAAGACUUAGAGAAGUCUAAAUCAAUGCCCCCAAAUAAAAAUCAUCCAAGACCUUACGAGAUUUGGAUGAAAAUGAAAACCACUCAUCAAUAAUGAAUGCUAAAUCCAAAUCUGGACUACAUACAAGAUACGACACACACGUCUUGUUGCCUGGAUGGAAAGCAUCAGAACUAGCAGCUAGCCAUCACACCUCUGCAAAGACUUGUGAGUGCUUCAGAAAGCCUGCCUUCCGGCACAGUUACAGCUGGCUCACUGGGAGGAGACCAAUCCAUCACACACGUUUACAGUGUAUUCAGAAUCUGACCACCUGUAACACCUCCACUGCCACCCCUGGUCCAGGCCCACCACUGUCUCUGCGGCAGCCUCACAGGUCUCCCCACUUCUGCUCGAGCUUCCCUGCUGCCCACAGAGAAGAAUUUGUGGUCUUGUCUACUCCUAGUACCCCAAUGCCUAGAAUUGGGCCUGGCAUGCUGUUCCAGAAAUCCCUGAUGAAUGAAUGAAUUUCACAGGAUGCAAACGAAGGCCCACACAUGACUGCUACAGACUCCACGAGGAAUUCACAACGCUUCAAAAGCAUUCAUGCAGUGUUAGCCUGUAUGCUGCACAUACUACCGACGGACUGUCCCAUCCUCCAGAAACAAAAUUAAGUGAUCCUAACGCAGGCAAGGGAACUGAGUUUAAAGAAAAGAAAGAACAAAAUCCCACUGAAGUAGGUAGCAGCAAGGGAUGGGGGCAACCUGGAGUGCAGCCAGGCAGCUUCCCUUCUACAGCAUUUACUGGAAGACGCAUGCUACACAUCUCUUCGAGCUCCAUCUGGGCAGAGGACACGGGUGCCAGCUUGGGUGAAUCUGCAUCUUUGCAUGAUCAACUCCCACCACUCCAAAGGUGAAAGGCAGGCCACUGCCAUUAUCUUUCCAUAGCUUCUCAAACGAGAGCCAGGGCCCACCCCGGUCCCAGUUUGUUUCCAGAUUCCAAGACUGACUACCUGCUUGUCAAGUUCUGUGUGGGAAACGUUAACAAUGUUCACAUUACCAUUUGAUGCUAUCUGGGUUUAUGACAUCUCAGAAAGUCUUUCUGUUGACAUAUGUUUUAAACAAUGGAAAUUCUUUCCAGGAACAUAGUCCUUCAGAAUAUUUAUCUGGACUGGACCACCUGGACCACAUCCACUGCUACCACACGUUGCAAGCCCCUGAUUAGUACAACAGCCUCCUAACUCCUAACAGUCUCUCCACCCUUGUCUCACCUCACCCCAGAGAAGCCCGAAUGAUCCUAUUAAAAUUCUAAGGCACCUCCUAUCACUGCUCUUGUUAGUCCUCUGGCUCAGAAUAAAACCCAGUCUUCACCGUGGCCUCCAACAUGCUGAAGCCUGAGUGCACAUACCAGAAUCACCAAGGAAACUUUCACAAAUACUUUCAAGGCUCUACCCCAGGUCAGUUCAGUCAGAAUCUCUGGGGUUGGGACCAGGCUUUUUCUCUUUUAAAGCUUCUCAGGUGACUGAAGUAUGCAGCUAUGCCGAGGAACCCUGUGUUAUACAAACUCCAGUCACCUCUGCUUUCCACCUACCCGAGCCCUCCUACCUCUACUGCCCUGGCUUAGCCUCAGUCACAACGGCCUCCCGGCAUUUCUCUGGCAAGUCAGAAACUCUUGUGUUUCAGGGCUUUGUACCUGCUGUUCCCCCUGCCUGGGAUGCUCUUCUCCUGGACAGCGACAAUGACUGGCUCACUCCCCAUAGCAUUCUAAACAAAUUUUUUUUUUCUUUUAAGCUUAUUUAUUUAAAC